rnacentral:tRNA from 1 species
GCCGGGGGAGCUCAGCGGUGGAGCGUCUGCCUUCGGCUCAGGGCAUGAUCCUGGGGCCCUGGGAUCGAGUCCCGCCUCCGGCU